rnacentral:lncRNA from 1 species
GCAUUUGUCGUGUACCUAUUGUGCAUGAAAUGUUUGUUAAGUCAUCCCCUGGGAAAGUAAGCAUUCUAAGUGAUGGGUCUAUUGUUGUUGAAGUUGGAGGGAUUGAGUUAGGCCAGGGACUUUGGACAAAGGUGAAGCAGAUGGCUGCAUUUGCACUCAGUUCUGUCCAAGGUGGUGAAUUGGGUGAUCUAUUGGAUAAAGUACGGGUUGUACAAUCUGAUACCUUGAGUCUAAUUCAGGGUGGAAUCACUUCUGGGAGCACCACAUCUGAGUCCAGCUGUGAAGCAGUUCGACUAUGUUGCAAUGUUUUAGUCGAGAGACUGUCUGCUCUCAGGGGAAGGUUGCUGGAGAGAAUGGGUUCUGUAAAUUGGGAGACAUUGAUUCAGCAGGUAGCUGUCUGCUCUUCUAAAGCACUCUAGCUAAGUUCACUUUCUGUUUCUCAACUUCAUUUUGUAUGUUGACUCUCUUAUUUUUUUUUUUUUUUUUUUACGCACUGUGUAUUCUCAGUAAGCAUUCUAAGUGAUGGGUCUAUUGUUGUUGAAGUUGGAGGGAUUGAGUUAGGCCAGGGACUUUGGACAAAGGUGAAGCAGAUGGCUGCAUUUGCACUCAGUUCUGUCCAAGGUGGUGAAUUGGGUGAUCUAUUGGAUAAAGUACGGGUUGUACAAUCUGAUACCUUGAGUCUAAUUCAGGGUGGAAUCACUUCUGGGAGCACCACAUCUGAGUCCAGCUGUGAAGCAGUUCGACUAUGUUGCAAUGUUUUAGUCGAGAGACUGUCUGCUCUCAGGGGAAGGUUGCUGGAGAGAAUGGGUUCUGUAAAUUGGG